rnacentral:rRNA from 1 species
GUGGGGAAUAUUGCACAAUGGGCGAAAGCCUGAUGCAGCGACGCCGCGUGCGGGAAGAAGGCCCUAGGGUUGUAAACCGCUUUCAGUAGGGAAGAAAAUGACGGUACCUACAGAAGAAGGUGCGGCCAACUACGUGCCAGCAGCCGCGGUGACACGUAGGCACCAAGCGUUAUCCGGAUUUAUUGGGCGUAAAGAGCUCGUAGGCGGUUCGAUAAGUCGGGUGUGAAAACUCUGGGCUCAACCCAGAGAGGCCACCCGAUACUGUUGUGACUAGAGUACGGUAGGGGAGCGGGGAAUUCCUGGUGUAGCGGUGAAAUGCGCAGAUAUCAGGAGGAACACCAGCGGCGAAGGCGCCGCUCUGGGCCGUUACUGACGCUGAGGAGCGAAAGCAUGGGUAGCAAACAGG